rnacentral:misc_RNA from 1 species
GAUGAAGAACGCAGCGAAAUGCGAUAAGUAAUGCGAAUUGCAGAAUUUCCGUGAGUCAUCGAAUCUUUGAACGCACAUUGCGCCCACUGGUAUUCCGGUGGGCAUGCCUGUUCGAGCGUCAUUAUCCUCCCUCAAACCCCGGGUUUGGUGUUGGACCCAAGUUGUGUGAACAACUGGUCUUAAAGACAAUGACGGCGUCCGUGGGACCCUCAGUGCAACGAGCUUUUAGGAGCACGCAUCGAGUUGCAAGGACCUUCCGGGCCGGUCUCCUUUACUAUUUUACAAGGUUGACCUCGGAUCAGGUAGGAAUACCCGCUGAACUUAAGCAUAUCAAUAACGGAGGA